GGGAAUAUACUUUAAACAUAGAAGGUGUUGCUUUGCAUGCAAUAAGUAAAAAAAUUUUUUAUUUCCA
rnacentral:tRNA from 1 species